ensembl:snoRNA SNORD116 Small nucleolar RNA SNORD116
GGAUUAAUGAUGACUUCCUCAUUGGAAUAUGAACAAACUGAGUGACAAAAAUUACUUGUCAGCUGAGAUCC